AGAGAUGUGUGAUGACGCAUAUCAAUAAGCGGAGGAAAAGAAACUAACAAGGAUUCCCUUAGUAACGGCGAGUGAAGCGGGAAGAGCUCAAAUUUGAAAUCUUCAAGGUUCUACCUUGACGAAUUGUAGUUUAUAGAAGUGUUUUCUGUUAGUAGAGUGGCAAAAGUUCUUUGGAAUAGGACAUCAUAGAGGGUGAGAAUCCCGUAUUUGGUCAUUCCUUCCUAGCGUUGUGAUACACUUUCAACGAGUCGGAUUGUUUGGGAAUGCAGUCCAAAAUGGGUGGUAAAUUUCAUCUAAAGCUAAAUAUUGGCGAGAGACCGAUAGCGAACAAGUACCGUGAGGGAAAGAUGAAAAGAACUUUGAAAAGAGAGUUAAACAGUACGUGAAAUUGUCAAAAGGGAAGCGUUUGACACCAGUGUUGUUUUUCCGAAAAUCAAUUACGAAUGUUUUGUUUUUGAGGAGUUAUGACUUCAUCGGCUUGCUUCUCUCUUUGCGAAACUUUCUUAAUGCACUUUUCGGUUAACAAGUCAACAUCAAUUUCUUUUGUUGUAAAAGGGUAUGAGGAAGGUGGCUUUCUUUUCGGAGAAAGUGUUUAUAGCCUUGUGCCUCUGCAAUCGGAGAGAUUGAGGUCUGCAGCGUAGAUCCUUCGGGGUUAGAUACAUUUGUGCUAAGUUAUAGCUUUUCAUAGACAACUUGUUGACUAUGUUAAGUCUUGUAGCUUACUCGCUUAUGCUAUUUUACCUACGCUUAGGAUGUUGAAGAUGUAGCACAUCAU
rnacentral:rRNA from 1 species